rnacentral:rRNA from 1 species
CAGAGGGUGCAAACGUUGUUCGGAAUUACUGGGCGUAAAGCGCGUGUAGGUGGCAAGGCAAGUCGGGUGUGAAAGCCCUGGGCUCAACCCAGGAAGUGCACUCGAUACUGCCUCGCUAGAGUCCCGGAGAGGUUGGUGGAACUCUCGGUGUAGAGGUGAAAUUCGUAGAUAUCGAGAAGAACACCGGUGGCGAAGGCGGCCAACUGGACGGUGACUGACACUGAGACGCGAAAGCGUGGGGAGCAAACAGGAUUAGAUACCCUGGUAGUCCACGCCGUAAACGAUGGGUGCUAGGUGUCACGGGUAUUGACCCCUGUGGCGCCGUAGCUAACGCAUUAAGCACCCCGCCUGGGAAGUACGGCCGCAAGGCUA